UUGGGUUUGGACAAGUUUGAGAUUAUAUUAAUUGAACAGUUAAUUCACAUAAACUGAUCAUAUUAAUACAAAAUUACCAUUGAAUAAUGCAGUUAUUAGUUUGUAAUACCCAAUUUAUGCCCGGCCCACAUACAUUACAAAAAACAAAUAAAUAAAAUAAUGAAUAAAAUUUAGUCCAUUUUAAAGUCCAAUUACAAUAGCCAAAUAAAAAAAAACCCAAAUACCCAAACUGCCCAAAAACCCGAAUAAACCCAUCAGACCCACUAAGCCCAAAUUUUACAAACCCAAUACCUAAGCCCAAUUAGCCCAUUUUGAAGGAGUAUUCCUUCAGUCGCCACAGCAGG
rnacentral:lncRNA from 1 species